rnacentral:rRNA from 1 species
CGGCGCACGGGUGAGUAACACGUAUCCAACCUGCCGUCUACUCUUGGCCAGCCUUCUGAAAGGAAGAUUAAUCCAGGAUGGCAUCAUGAGUUCACAUGUCCGCGUGAUUAAAGGUAUUGUUCCGGUAGACGAUGGGGAUGCGUUCCAUUAGAUAGUAGGCGGGGUAACGGCCCACCUAGUCAACGAUGGAUAGGGGUUCUGAGAGGAAGGUCCCCCACAUUGGAACUGAGACACGGUCCAAACUCCUACGGGAGGCAGCAGUGAGGAAUAUUGGUCAAUGGGCGAUGGCCUGAACCAGCCAAGUAGCGUGAAGGAUGACUGCCCUAUGGGUUGUAAACUUCUUUUAUAAAGGAAUAAAGUCGGGUAUGCAUACCCGUUUGCAUGUACUUUAUGAAUAAGGAUCGGCUAACUCCGUGCCAGCAGCCGCGGUAAUACGGAGGAUCCGAGCGUUAUCCGGAUUUAUUGGGUUUAAAGGGAGCGUAGAUGGAUGUUUAAGUCAGUUGUGAAAGUUUGCGGCUCAACCGUAAAAUUGCAGUUGAUACUGGAUGUCUUGAGUGCAGUUGAGGCAGGCGGAAUUCGUGGUGUAGCGGUGAAAUGCUUAGAUAUCACG